rnacentral:rRNA from 1 species
UACGUAGGGGGCUAGCGUUGUCCGGAUUUAUUGGGCGUAAAGAGCGUGUAGGCGGCCAGAUAGGUCUGCUGUGAAAACUCGAGGCUCAACCUCGAGAUGUCGGCGGAAACCAUUUGGCUAGAGUCCGGAAGAGGAAAGUGGAAUUCCUGGCGUAGCGGUGAAAUGCGCAGAUAUCAGGAAGAACACCCGUGGCGAAGGCGGCUUUCUGGGACGGUACUGACGCUGAGACGCGAAAGCGUGGGGAGCGAACAGG